rnacentral:lncRNA from 1 species
CCAAAAAUAGGGAUUUUUAGGGCUUUUACCCCCGGAAUUCCCAGUAAUUCCCAGUGAUUCCCUGUCAUUCCCGGCACAGAAUCCCGGGAUUCUCUGGCGCCGCUGCGGGAGCAGCUGGAGCAGCUGCGGCGGGAGCAGAGCCAGGUCCUGGAGGAGACCCGGAACCUCUCAGGAAUCCUGUGCCCGUCCUGCCCCCCCGGCUGGGAGCAGUUUUCCAGGACCUGCUACUUCUUCUCCUCCAGCACCAAAUCCUGGCACGAUUCCAGGGAUUCCUGUGCCCAAUUCCAGGCCCACCUGGCCGUGGUCGACUCCGAGCAGGAAAAUCAAUUCCUGGCCAUCCACGUUCCGGAGCGGCGCCAGUUCUGGCUGGGCCUGACGGACGAGCCCAGCGAGGGCUCCUGGCACUGGGUCACCGGGGGGGCCCUGCAGCUCCAGUUCUGGAACAGCGGCGAACCCAACGACGUCGGCCACCACGGCGAGGACUGCGCCGGGAUCUAC